CCUACGGGAGGCUGCAGUGGGGAAUAUUGGGCAAUGGAGGCAACUCUGACCCAGCAACGCCGCGUGAAUGAAGAAGGUCUUCGGAUUGUAAAGUUCUUUAAUUGGGGACGAAAAAAAUGACGGUAACCAAGGAAUAAGCCGCGGCUAACUACGUGCCAGCAGCCGGGGGAAUACGUAGGGGGCAAGCGGGGUUCGGGAUGACUGGGGGUAAAGGGUGUGUAGGCGGGGUGGCAAGCUAGAAGUGAAAUACCCAGAGCUUAACUCAGGUGCUGCUUCUAAAACUGGUAUACUUGAGUGCAGUAGAGGAAAGUGGAAUUCCUGGUGUAGCGGUGAAAUGCGUAGAUAUUAGGAGGAACAUCAGUGGCGAAGGCGACUUUCUGGACUGUAACUGACGCUGAGGCACGAAAGUGUGGGGAGCAAACAGGAUUAGAUACCCCAGUAGUC
rnacentral:rRNA from 1 species